rnacentral:rRNA from 1 species
UACGGGAGGCAGCAGUGGGGAAUAUUGCACAAUGGGCGAAAGCCUGAUGCAGCUAUGCCGCGUGUAUGAAGAAGGCCUUAGGGUUGUAAAGUACUUUCAUCGGGGAGGAAAAAACAAAACUAAUAAUUUUAUUUCUUGACGUUACCCGAAAAAGAAGCACCGGCUAACUCCGUGCCAGCAGCCGCGGUAAUACGGAGGGUGCUAGCGUUAAUCAGAAUUACUGGGCGUAAAGAGCACGUAGGUGGUUUUUUUAAGUCAGAUGUGAAAUCCCUGGGCUUAACCUAGGAAACUGCAUUUUGAAAACUGAAAUACUAGAGUAUCGUAGAGGGAGGUAGAAUUCUAGGUGUAGCGGUGAAAUGCGUAGAUAUCUGGAGGAAUACCUGUGGCGAAAGCGGCCUCCUAAACGAAUACUGACACUGAGGUGCGAAAAGCGUGGGGAGCAAAACAGGGAUUAGAUACC